rnacentral:rRNA from 1 species
CGGGACGGGUGAGUAACGCGUGGGUAACCUGCCUCAUACAGGGGGAUAACAGUUGGAAACGGCUGCUAAUACCGCAUAAGCGCACAGUACCGCAUGGUACCGUGUGAAAAACUCCGGUGGUAUGAGAUGGACCCGCGUCUGAUUAGCUAGUUGGUGGGGUAACGGCCUACCAAGGCGACGAUCCCUAGCUGGUCUGAGAGGAUGACCAGCCACACUGGAACUGAGACACGGUCCAG